rnacentral:lncRNA from 1 species
CCAUCAUUAGUUCAUCCUUACACAGCAACAACUAGUCACUUUAUUUCAGGCUCAUGUUUUGAAUGAAAGUAAUAUAAAAGCUACCUGAAUGAGAUGCACCAGGAUAACCUGCCGGAGGGUAUCCAUGUGGAGGAGGAUACCCUGCAGGUGGAUACCCUGCAUGAGGGUAUCCGUGUGGGGGAGGAUACCCCGCAGGUGGAUACCCUGCAGGAGGAUACCCUGGUGGUGGAUAUCCAGCCGGAGGAUAGCCAUGGGGAGGAUAUGGUGCAGAAGGGUAAGCUCCAUGAUGAGGGUAAUGUCCUGCUCCAGCAGCAUAUGCAGCCAUAUUAGAGAACAGCCCUUUGUCCUUUUC